GAUAUAUUGUUGUAAACUCAUUGCACCAACUGCUGGAUAUUUCAUGAGCGCUGGAUAUUGGCGCAAGCUUCAAAUCUACCAACGGUCAUAAACAAACUCUGGCUUUAUUUUCACAGAUAAAAGGUUUAGAGCAGCGCUGUUUACUGACUGGGAGAACCAGGCUGUUUAAGGCCACGUCUGAUGCUAAACCAUGUAGAAAGAAGUGUGGAAAACAAGUGGUCAUCUGGAUGACAGGCGACCGGUCAGAAACAGCCUAAAGAAACAGGAGGAAAAGUACCUGUCUGUCUAACAAUGACCUGCCGUCUCCCAGCCAGCGACUUAAUUACCAUCACUGGACAACUGUCAACACAUGAGGAAUUAUGGGAGUGAAAUUCGUGCAACAGCAGAGAGAAAGGCAUCGAAACACAGUGAGCUGCCUACCUAGACGACGAUUUUACGCAUCGUAGGCGACCUAACGACACAAAAACUGCUCCUGAAGGUAGGCAGCAGCAUUAUUCUGUCUUCUAAAAUGCCUUGAUUUGUUUCAAUCAGGCAACACUGCAGUAAAAAAUGAUCCCAGAAUGCAUUGCAAUGAACAUGAGCUGUAAUGUGAUAGUAAUCAGGUGAAACUCACAGUUCUGCAUUCAUUCUAUAUGCAUAACUUCAUGUAAUAUAGAUGCCUGAAUCCUGACAUGCACGUUAAGUAACGUAAUCAGGUCAAGCAUAUCUCAUCAAAACAUUGUUAAAAAUGCAUGGGAAAGCCUUUUAAGAUUUUUUUUUUUU